ensembl:lncRNA
CGCGACCACCCGACAAGGUUCUUUCUGGUCGCGGGACCCCAAGGGGCCGAAAGCUGGGGGCCCAGAGCGCAGACAGUAGGCCCUCUGCACCUGGGCUUCGGAUCCAUCACCGCGGGUUUGUCCUGCCCUUCAUGGUCCAAGCGUCUGGCACAUACAGCGCUCCGCUGUGUGCCGAGCCGGGUGACCGCUCCCAUCGGGGAGGAAGCUGAGCGCUCGUGGACACGGCAAAAGCCACAAAGGCGUUGUGAACCGGGCUGCUGGCAGGCUGUCCCCAGCUCCGGGAGCCAAUGGCUGACCGCCAGGAUCGCCCUGGCCGUUGGGAAGGCCACCUCCAACAAUAGUAUUCCAAACUGGUUGCUCUCGAUUUUUGAAGAGCCUGUGUUUCUCUUGAGGUUCCUGAGCUGAGUGGAGAAACACUGACCCUUGAGUUUCUCCUGCACCGUAGUGACUGAGUCAGGGGCGGGGCCGCCAGGCUUGGGCAGAGGAUGGAGUUACUGCGCCCAGUAUCCGACUGUUCAGUGUCCGGCCAUGUGCGCGCACUGCACCCAGGCCUGCGUGGGGCACAGACAGGGCCUCUGCGCCUGAGCGGCUGCUGUUCUAGGGGAGCAGGCUCGACAGACAUCAUUUUGUAAGAAACUUCCACUAAUGAGACUGAUAGGAAGAAUGACAAAGUGAGAGAGAUAAAUGGAGAGAGACAGGAAUGGGAGCCCUAGAUCAGGUGGUCAGCAGGUUCUCUGGACAGGUGACCCUUGAGCAGGGAGCUUAAGAACCACACCUUGUUCCAGGGAAGGAUGUCCCUGGCUGAAGUAGGUCAGUGCAAAGGCCAGAAGCAGGGGAUCCAGAGAAGGGAAUUGUGGCCACAGAGCCAAGGAGGGGAGACAGCCACGUGAAGACAGAGGCACAGGCUGGAGUCAUCUGGGCACAAGACAAGAACACGGGCAACUAGCAGGAGCUGAAAGAGACGGGGGGACCCUCUGCCAGAGCCCUCAGAAGGAGUGAGGCCCCCAGGAUUGUGAGAGACAAUUUGCCUAUUCUGGAUGUUUCAUAUAAAUGGAAUCAGCUAGCAUGUGGUCUCUUGUGACUGGCUUCCUUCACUUAGCGUUUUUUCAAGGGAGUCAACAUCAAGUCUUCUGAAACAUGCUGCCAUGGAGGAGAGAAGGAGUGGCAGAGUGGGUUUAACUGUUGACAUUAAUUGCUGCAUGUGGGCUUGGGGGCAGGUAUCUCCCUCCCCUCUCAUGUAAGCAUGUGGAGGAGUUUCCCCAGCCCGUCUCCACUGCUUCCUCUGUCCCAGGAGAGGAGGCCAGUGACUUGCCCAAGGUCUGCAACUAAUGGGGAGCAGAGCCAGAAUUCCAGCCAGGCUGUCAGACGCCUGCAUCUCUGCUUUUCUUCAUCGACUUCCUUGCCUGUUUUGCAAUGGCAGUUGGGAUGUGUGAGGUUGACCCCCAUGAAGCAGCUGGUGUUUGACCCCUUGUGGUCCAGUGGCUAAGACUCCAUGCUCCCACUGCAGGGGGCCCCGGGGUCCAACCGUGGUCAGGGAACCAGAUCCCACAUGCUGUAACGAAGAGUUCAUAUGCUGCAAG